rnacentral:rRNA from 1 species
UAUGGUAAUUGUGUGCAGCCGCGGUAAUACGUAGGGGGCAAGCGUUAUCCGGAUUUACUGGGUGUAAAGGGAGCGUAGACGGCUGUGCAAGUCUGAAGUGAAAGGCAUGGGCUCAACCUGUGGACUGCUUUGGAAACUGUGCAGCUAGAGUGUCGGAGAGGUAAGUGGAAUUCCUAGUGUAGCGGUGAAAUGCGUAGAUAUUAGGAGGAACACCAGUGGCGAAGGCGGCUUACUGGACGAUGACUGACGUUGAGGCUCGAAAGCGUGGGGAGCAAACAGG